AUAGGUACGUAGCAGGGGAGCUACCGCGAUCAGGAAGGCGGUUUUCCCAGGGUGAGGCUUAUCCAUUGACCUCCAGAUGGGCUGACUCCUGCGGUUUCCCCAAAUGUGGGAAACUCGACUUCAUAAUUUGUGGUAGUGGGGGAAUUCACUCUCUCUCCUGGACCCCCCCC